UGCUGAAACUGCAACACUAACUCUUUUUCCUUUGUUGUAGUCUAUCGUUCUCAUUAGCAAUUGGAAGAUAAAGUCUGGACUUUAUUCCUUUUCUUCUUUAACGUCAAAAUCUUAACUAAUAGAUACCAGUUCCCCUCAAAGAAAACUUAUGCUGUCCGCUAUAAAUAGCUCUCUUAUACUGAUGUAUGCUAUGUUGUCGAGUGCCAUAGGUGUGAGAUCAAUAGGAAGUUGAUAAACUAGACGCUUGAUGCAUUACUGAAAAUCUCUCGGACCCAUUAAUAUCUAAAAUGAUCUUGGCUUCUUGUGAGUUAGGAUGUACUGAGGAAAUAAUUACCAUUGCUGCUACGCUCUCCAUACAGUCUAUUUGGAUUCCUGUUAGAGGAGUACAGAAGGAGUUGGAUGAAGCAAAGUUGAGAUUUGCAGCUGCCGAG